AGAUUGAACGCUGGCGGCAGGCCUAACACAUGCAAGUCGAGCGGCAGCACGGGUACUUGUACCUGGUGGCGAGCGGCGGACGGGUGAGUAAUGCCUAGGAAUCUGCCUGAUAGUGGGGGAUAACGUUCGGAAACGGACGCUAAUACCGCAUACGUCCUACGGGAGAAAGUGGGGGAUCUUCGGACCUCACGCUAUCAGAUGAGCCUAGGUCGGAUUAGCUAGUUGGUAGGGUAAAGGCCUACCAAGGCUACGAUCCGUAACUGGUCUGAGAGGAUGAUCGGUCACACUGGAACUGAGACACGGUCCAGACUCCGUACGGGAGCAGCAGGUGGGGAAUAGUUGGACAAGUGGGGACGAAAGCCUGACUCCAGCCAUCGCCGCGUGUGUGAAGAGGUCUUCGGAUUGAAGCUAGUUUAAGGUGGAGAAGGCAUUAACCUAGUACGUUAGUGUUUCGACGUUACCA
rnacentral:rRNA from 1 species